rnacentral:rRNA from 1 species
UACGUAGGGCGCAAGCGUUGUCCGGAAUUAUUGGGCGUAAAGAGCUCGUAGGCGGUCUGUUGCGUCCGCUGUGAAAACUCGGGGCUUAACCCCGAGCCUGCAGUGGAUACGGGCAGACUAGAGGUAGGUAGGGGAGAAUGGAAUUCCCGGUGUAGCGGUGAAAUGCGCAGAUAUCGGGAGGAACACCGGUGGCGAAGGCGGUUCUCUGGGCCGAUACUGACGCUGAGGAGCGAAAGCGUGGGGAGCGAACAGG